rnacentral:sRNA from 1 species
GAGUUUGAUAGGCUCUGCAGCCUAACAAAGAUCAAUGGAGUUAGUGAGGAUGGCUUCAAGCUCAGAUUGUUUCCAUUCUCUCUUGGAGACAAAGCCCAUCAGUGGGAAAAGUCGCUUCCU